rnacentral:misc_RNA from 1 species
AAUAUUAAUCUUAUAAAAUAUAUAAUAAAAAAUAAUUUUUUAUUUUUUCUGAAAAAUAAUUAUUUUAUGAAAAAAUAAAAGGAAAUUAUUUAUUUUAUUAGGUGUUUUAGAUUUAGGGUUUAUACUAGUUACGUGUAAUUCAUGUACUGUGAAUUGAAUUGAUAUAGUUUAUGUACGUGAAGUGAAUUGAUGUAGUUUACAUAAUGCAUUUCGAAUUGGUGUAUCACCUAAGCCUACCUCCUCAUGCCCUGUAUCUUGCUCAGUGGCAUACCGUGUACCCAUACUUGUAACUCAAUUCUAGACAUAUUGCAUUCCAGGUAACUGUGGUUCUAUGUGGACUGAUGUACUGACAAUCAGAGACUGCAACAUCAGUAAAUACAUACUCAACUCAACUUAACUGAGCCUUUAUCUCAAAAAUUUAGGG